UAGGUCAUCUAUACGUAACUCCUGGAGACCCUUUUCACAUAUCCUGGAUUUCUACUUCCUUCUUCCUAGAGAUGAAUAUCAACAUAUGUUUCCACGUAUCCCCGGCGUCGGCUUCCUGCUUCCCAGAGAUUAUCCUCGAGGUCAGGUAAAUUUUCGUCGAUGCUUUUGGCCUUGCAGCAAUUCAGGUGCCUUUUCGGCCGUUUCUGAUAGAGCAACGUCAAUAUCCGACGAAUUGACAAUCCUUUUGGCCUUGCAAGUUGCAGCAAGUCAAGCGCUUUUCUGGCGGCUUCCUGUUUCCCAAAGAUCAGCUCAACAUCCGACGGACGCAAAACCUGUACUUCCCAAAGAUUAGGUGAAUCUCCGUUCUAUCAAUCUAAAUACAGCUAGCUAGAUCAAUGCAAUUUUUACAGCUUUGAUUGCAAUCAUUCAGUUUGGACUAUUUUCUUCUUCUAUAACAUCUUGCAGAAAAGAAGGGCCAAGAUCCAAAAAUAUACGGCGA